CAGCAGCCGCGGUAAUACGUAGGGUGCGAGCGUUAAUCGGAAUUACUGGGCGUAAAGCGUGCGCAGGCGGUUAUGUAAGACAGGUGUGAAAUCCCCGGGCUUAACCUGGGAACUGCGCUUGUGACUGCACAGCUAGAGUAUGGCAGAGGGGGGUGGAAUUCCACGUGUAGCAGUGAAAUGCGUAGAGAUGUGGAGGAACACCGAUGGCGAAGGCAGCCCCCUGGGCCAAUACUGACGCUCAUGCACGAAAGCGUGGGGAGCAAACAGGAUUAGAUACCCCCGUAGUCCCUGUCUCUUAUAU
rnacentral:rRNA from 1 species